UACGUAGGGUGCGAGCGUUGUCCGGAAUUAUUGGGCGUAAAGGGCUCGUAGGCGGUUUGUCACGUCGGGAGUGAAAACUCAGGGCUCAACCCUGAGCCUGCUUCCGAUACGGGCAGACUAGAGGUAUGCAGGGGAGAACGGAAUUCCUGGUGUAGCGGUGAAAUGCGCAGAUAUCAGGAGGAACACCGGUGGCGAAGGCGGUUCUCUGGGCAUUACCUGACGCUGAGGAGCGAAAGUGUGGGGAGCGAACAGG
rnacentral:rRNA from 1 species